UUCACGUAAAGGUCAUGUAAAGUUCACUGCAACAUCGAGAAGAUGCUCCCAUGCACAGAAACAGAAGAAUGUGUUCCCAACAUUCCAGGAAAUAAUAUGGCUGCGUGGCUGACUUACCCUCCCUCCUCUACAGGUUCAAUAUCCUGCCCACCCAGAGAGCCAAGUUAGAAAACUUAGCCAUGUGGAUUUUGAUACUCAGCCACAAGCCACAAGGAAGCACUUCCUCUAGAGGAAUGGCCAGGAUCUGACGGUUUCAGCCAGUCCUCUGCUGCCCUCUUUCAGAUUAAUAGACUUCCCUUCUGCUGAGACCUAUGCCUCUGAUGUGAAAUAUCACCCAGCUGUAAGCAACUUUAACAGUAAUCAGACCGUAACUCUGUUAUUAAGUUAUGGUGACUCCUCAGAAGUCCAAACUGUCUGAUGAAGCUUGAAGAACCGUCUCUGACAAGUUGAGCUUGACUGAAUCUGGGAAGCAUCAGCAUGGGAACCUGCUUUUCUGACUUCAACCCAGAUUAACCAUUUAAAAGUGAAACUUGCAAUGCCGAGUGAUGCCUGAGACUUAAGCGGAAAAGUUGUUUCAGGAAGAGAGGUGUACAUGAGGACAUCAGAAUGCUACCCUAGCUGAUUCUGCAACAAAUUUUACCAGUGCUCAUGGCUCGUGCAGCCGGUGACUCUCAUUUGAAAUCAAUGCUCACCAACCAUCCUAAAAAUCCUAGGGCCCUUCAGCAUAAUGCUAAAUGUACUCUGCUUGUGCUCUAUAAAUGUAAUAACAAAGCCUGAAUGACAGCACAUCUGUUUACAACAUGGUUUACUGAAUACUAUUGAGACCUACUGCUCAAAAAAAAGUUCCUUUCAAAAUAUUACUACUUAUUUGACAAUGUGAAUGCAUCUGGUCCACCCAGAACUCUAACAGAGAUGGACAAGAUGAGUGUUGUUUUCAUGUCUGCUAACAAAGCAUCAAUUUUGCAGCCCACGGAUCAGAGUCCUUUCGACUUCCAAGUCUUUUUAAUUUAAGAAAUACAAUUCAUAAGGUUGUAUAUAGUUGCUGUAGGGAUUCCUCACAGAUCCUGGCAAAGUACACUGAAAACCUUCUGGGAAGAAUUCACCGUUUUAGAUGCCAUUGAAAACAAUCAUGAUUAAUGGGAAGGGGUCAAAGUAUUCACAUAACAGGAGUUUGGAAGAAGUUGAUUAUACCCUCUUGGAUGAUUUUGAAGGGUUUCAAGACCUAACUGGCGUGUAAAAAUGUGACUAAACUGCUGUCAUCUCUUCAUAAAAUUUCAACAGAGGAGUUGCUUCUUAUGUAUGAGCAAAGACCGUGGUUUUGUGAGAUGGAAUCUAUCCCUGGUGAGGAUGCCAUGAAGACUUGAAAUGACAAUGGGCUUAGAAUAUUCCAUAAAUGUAAUUGAUGCACAGCAGCAGAGUCUAAAAAGAAUUUAAUUUUGAAAGAAGUUCUAAUGUGGAUAAAAUGCUAACAGCACUGCCUGCUACAGAGAAAUCUUUCAUUGGAAGGAAGAGUUGAGGUGGCAAACUUCAUUGUUGUAAAAAAUUGCCCCAGCCAUCCUGACCUUAAACCACUGCCACUCUGAGCAAUCAACAGCCAGCAACAUCAAAGCAAGACCCUCCACUAGCAAAAAGAUUACAACUCGCUGAAAGCUUAGAUGAUAGCAUUUUUAGUAAUCACACAUUAGGGCAUGUGCAUUGCGUUUUUUUAAACAUAAUGCUGUCACACUACAUUGUUAAUGUAAAAUAUAAAAUGUAAAUAUAUAAAAAUAAUGUAAU